AGUACUUGUUGGUAGUGAUCGCCUGUUUGGCUUGUACGAGUGCCCUGGUGACUUAUCGUCAGUUAGAAAAAGGAAAGAAUGGCUGCAAAUGGAAAGACGCUGAAAUACCGGUGGCAGACACUUAUCCGAUUACUGAAGUGUGCGGCGUCAUGCAUUGCCAGAACACGGAAGGCGAUGCCCUGAUUCUCUAUUGCCAAAUACCGCCUUUUUAUAUUUUUUGCGAUCAAGAUGGAAUAGAUACAACAAUACCUUUUCCCGAAUGCUGCUGGAGAUGUACUAGAUAUGUGGAAUGUGGUAACGACGGAAAAGCUCUUGAUGCCUAAGAUACAUGUAAAAUAAAUACCUAAAAUACA